GGGGACGUAAUUCAGUUGGUAGAAUGUAUGCUUUGCACGCAUAAUGUCAUCGGUUCGAAUCCGAUCGUUUCCA
rnacentral:tRNA from 1 species